rnacentral:rRNA from 1 species
AUGAACACGCAGAGGAGUGCGUUGAUGCAGUCACUUGGAAUUAGUCCGCAUUUUACCAAACGAGCUGAGCAAGAACGCCGUAGGAUUUUUCAAAUUUGCAUAGAUAUAGCGGCAAUUGGCCAAAAAAUUAAAAGGUCGUCGUGGUCUGCAAGGAAGAGAUGCACUGUGGCAUGCGUCAACGAAGGCGACCAGAGCCUAUUCUAUACCCUUGAGCGCCCUUGUUUAAAAAUGUGGUGUCUCUUGGGCGCAAGGGCAAGGCGGAUAUGGUUUUAUAUGGUAAUAAUCGUCGCGGUCUUGCUUGUGCAUGUACGUAUAUAUGCUCACGUUGCAGCGCAUAUAUAUUCCCCACCCACCGAAGGGAAAGCUACAAACAUACACUAUACACACUAUACACACUGA